GACGAACGCUAGCGGCGUGCCUAAGGUAUGCAAGUCGAGCGAGCAGGGGCAACCCUGCGAGCGGCAAACGGUUGAGUAACACGUAGACAACCUGCCUCCGAGUGGGGGAUACCCCGGGGA
rnacentral:rRNA from 1 species